CAGCAUUCACGCAGUCUGUCAGGAUGAAGAUGAAGAUGAGAGAGAGGAACUGUGAGGCAGAUAAAAAAAUAUAUAAAAAUCUAAAUGCAGUUACAAAAAAACUGAAGUCAGAACACGAUAAUGUAUCAAGACUCAGUGACAGCGGGAACAUAUAAAACAUCAUUCAUUGAAAUUAUUCACUCAAGGAUCAAAAAUACGAAAAUUUGACGAAAAAAAGCUGGACUCUCGCAUUCAUUUGCAGCUUCGUCUGUAUAUUUGCAGUGCUGAUAAACAAAGUGUGUCUGCAGGUCACAGUAGAGGCUGUUUUCGGUGGUUCUGUUGUCCUGCCGUGUUCUUCAGCUGAACAUGAUCUUAAACGUCUAGACACUGAAGUGCACUGGAGACACAAUGGCAGCAAGAUUGUGUUUGAUAUAAUCAAGGGUGAAGUUUCACUAGAGAAUCAGGGCCAAUGGUACAAGAACAGAGCUGAAACUUUCCCUGAAGAGUAUGUGAGAGGAAACUUCUCCAUCAAGCUCUCUGGUCUCACUCACGCUGAUGCUGGACAGUACAUCUGCCUCAUCACCCCCUCAGAUGAACAGGAGACAGUAGAGCUGAUCAUCAACGACUUGUUUGUUGCAGAAACAACAACAGAAAAAGGAAACAAAACCACUGAUCAAGAAAAUCAAGAAACCAGACCAGACCGUGUCGAGAAAUCGUGGCUUUGGAUCCUGGUUGUCAUUCUUUUAACCAUAAUACUGGGUUUACUUUUCUUUCUAAUUAUCUUUAGAAAAAAGAUCCCAAGCUGCCUUAUGUCAGGUGAACAUGGCCUGGGUUCAGACGCUCAUGAGGUUGUGAGCCCUGUCCCAUGUUAUGAAUAAGUAACUGCUGAUGAUCGUGCUGAAGUAGCAGAUGUGCAGCUUGGCGCACUGACAGCAAUUACAUGAGCUUUCGCGCUAAACAAGAAGAAAAAAGGAAACGGGAACAUUUUUAGCUGAGGUUAAAAGAAAAUGAGGCUGUCAAUAUGAUGCUGCCUUAACAGUUCUGUACUGCAAGUGUUAUAUAUGUAUAUAUGUGACCCUGGACGACAAAACCAGUCAUAAGUGUCAAUUUUUCAAAAUUGAGAUUUAUACAUCAUCUGAAAGCUGAAUAAAUAAUCUUGCCAUUGAUGUAUGGUUUGUUGGGAUCGGACAAUAUUUAGCAGAGAUACAACUAUUUGGAAAUCUGGAAUCUGAGGGUGCAAAAAAAAUCUAAAUAUUGAGAAAAUCACCUUUAAAGUUGUCCAAAUUAAGUUCUUAGCAAUGCAUAUUACUAAUCAAAAAUGAAGUUUUGAUAUAUUUAUGGUAAUAAAUUUACAAAAUAUCUUCAUGGAUCAUGAUCUUUACUUAAUAUCCUAAUGAUUUUUGGCAUAAAAGAAAAAUUUAUCAUUUUGAAACAUACAAUGUUGUUUUGGCUAUUGCUACAAAUAUACCCCAGCGACUUAAGACUGGUUUUGUGCUCCAGGGUCACAUAUAUGUUAAUAUGUAGUGUGACAUAUUCAUACUGAAAAUGUAUUAUUUUGUUCAAAUCUGCUUCAGUAUUCUCAAGUAUUUACAGAGUAUUGUGUUUCAUUGUAUACUGAUUGUAUACUUUAAGACCCAAUAAAAUGUUUAAAUGUA